rnacentral:rRNA from 1 species
AGCGAACGCUGGCGGCAGGCCUAGCACAUGCAAGUCGAACGAACUCUUCGGAGUUAGUGGCGGACGGGUGAGUAACACGUGGGAACGUGCCUUUAGGUUCGGAAUAACUCAGGGAAACUUGUGCUAAUACCGAAUGUGCCCUUCGGGGGAAAGAUUUAUCGCCUUUAGAGCGGCCCGCGUCUGAUUAGCUAGUUGGUGAGGUAAAGGCUCACCAAGGCGACGAUCAGUAGCUGGUCUGAGAGGAUGAUCAGCCACAUUGGGACUGAGACACGGCCCAAACUCCUACGGGAGGCAGCAGUGGGGAAUCUUGCGCAAUGGGCGAAAGCCUGACGCAGCCAUGCCGCGUGAAUGAUGAAGGUCUUAGGAUUGUAAAAUUCUUUCACCGGGGACGAUAAUGACGGUACCCGGAGAAGAAGCCCCGGCUAACUUCGU